rnacentral:rRNA from 1 species
UACGGAGGGUGCGAGCGUUGUCCGGAAUCACUGGGCGUAAAGGGCGCGUAGGCGGCGCGGGAAGUCAUCGGUGAAAGUUCAGGCUCAACUCUGAAUCGGCCGGUGAUACUCUCGUGCUUGAGCACUGUAGAGGCAGGUGGAAUUCCGGGUGUAGCGGUGGAAUGUCGUAGAGAUCCGGAAGAACACCGGUGGCGAAGGCGGCCUGCUGGGCAGUA